UCCUUUGUAGCUCAGUUGGUAGAGUCUGACUGCAAUGCAGGAGACCUGGGUUCAAUUCCUGGGUAGGGAA
rnacentral:tRNA from 1 species